GAGGGUGUAGCUCAGUGGUAGAGUGCUUAGUGUGCCUGAGGUCCUGGGUUCAAUCCCCAGUCCCUCCA
rnacentral:tRNA from 1 species